rnacentral:tRNA from 1 species
GCUCCCAUAGCUUAACCUAAA